rnacentral:rRNA from 1 species
GACGAACGCUGGCGGCGUGCUUAACACAUGCAAGUCGAACGGAAAGGCCCUGCUUUUGUGGGGUGCUCGAGUGGCGAAAGGGUGAGUAACACGUGAGUAACCUGCCCUUGACUUUGGGAUAACUUCAGGAAACUGGGGCUAAUACCGGAUAGGAGCUCCUGCUGCAUGGUGGGGGUUGGAAAGUUUCGGCGGUUGGGGAUGGACUCGCGGCUUAUCAGCUUGUUGGUGGGGUAGUGGCUUACCAAGGCUUUGACGGGUAGCCGGCCUGAGAGGGUGACCGGCCACAGUGUGCCUGGGGUGCGGCCCAGACGCCUUCGGGAGGCAGGGGUGGGGACUAUUGCACAAUGGGCGGAGGCCGGAUGCAGCAACGCCGCGUGCGGGAUGACGGCCUUCGGGUUGUAAACCGCUUUCGCCUGUGACGAAGCGUGAGUGACGGUAAUGGGGAAAGAAGCACCGGCUAACUACGU